UACGUAGGGACCAAGCGUUGUUCGGAUUCACUGGGCGUAAAGGGUGCGCAGGCGGCCGAGUGUGUGAGGCGUGAAAGCCCGGGGCUUAACCCCGGAAUUGCACCUCAAACUACACGGCUAGAGCAUUGGAGAGGGUAGCAGAAUUCAUGGUGUAGCAGUGAAAUGCGUAGAUAUCAUGAGGAAUACCAGAGGCGAAGGCGGCUACCUGGACAAUUGCUGACGCUCAGGCACGAAAGCGUGGGGAGCAAAAGGG
rnacentral:rRNA from 1 species